AGUGAACGCUGGCGGUAUGCCUAACACAUGCAAGUCGAACGGCAGCACAGUAAUAUCUUGCUCUUACGGGUUGCGAGUGGCGGACGGGAGAGGAAUACAUCGUAAUCUACUUUUUCGUGGGGGUUAACGUAGGUAAACUUACUCUAAUACCGCAUACGACCUACGGGUGAAAGCAUGGGAUCUUCGGACCUUGCGCGAUUGAAUGAGCCGAUGUGGGAUUAGAUAGUUGGCGGGGUAAUUACCCACCAAGUCGACGAUCCGUAGCUGGUCUGAGAGGCUGAUAGGCCACCCUGGAACUGGAACACGGUCAAGACGCCUACGGGACGCCGCAGUGUGGUAUAUUGGACAAUGGGCGCAAGCAUGAUCCAGUCGUACCGAGUGGGUGAAGAAGGCCUUCCGGUUGGAAAGACGUUCUGUUGGGAAAGAAACGCAGCCGCCUAAUACCCAGCUGUUCUGACGGUAACGAAAGAAUAAGCACCGGCUAACUUCGUG
rnacentral:rRNA from 1 species